UUCGAAUUAUAUUAUUAUUAUUUAGUAUUAUUCAGCUUAAAGAAAUGGUAUCGUGGAGAACCGAGUUCGGGUUUCAAGUAUCCGGAUUUGGGGUCGCCACAGGUUCGACACUUAAUUUUACCACUUUAUUACUUGUUGACUGUGUAUACUUGCACAAAUUCAUUGAUUGUGAAAUCAACCAACAAUUCCACAUCUAUGGUUAUUAUUGAAUAUUCACAUUUAUUGCAAGUUCCCUAACUCAAACUCGAGUUAUUAUGUUUCAAGCAUGUUAGUGGAUUAAUUCUUGACAAUUAUUCCACAUCUAUGAUUAUUGAUUCACACUUUGUGCAUAUUGUAUAUUUUCAUCGUGUAUGAAAGGCUGAUCACCUUGAUUACCAUAAGGUUCACUUAAAUUUGUUCAUGGUCAUUGAUGACCACUCAGCUUAUUUACUCAGUCAUUCAAUAAUUGAAACUUAAUUCUCAAUAUUCCACAAUUAUUAUACGUUGUUGAAAACUUGAAAGCUUACUCCUUUUCAAUCAUGAUAUAUCUUUAUUGUACUUAAACUUGCUGAAAAAAAUAGUUACUCACCCUUGAUAUAUCAUGAUAACAUUUUUAGAUUAAGGCAAAGGUUCGAAGAAAGACAGGGACGAGGAUAAAUUAUAAGAAUAUAUUGUUAUGACCAUUUAGCUAUUAAGUUAUCUUACAUUAAUAUUAUUGUAAACCUUUUUAAUUAUUGAAGGUAUGUAUCAAGUUAAGAUUAUAGACCUUGGGAAAUGUUGUAGAAUUAUUUUGAAAUAAACAAUGUAUGUUUAUAUAUUCCACAUUAAUUAUAGAAUGUUUAAGAAGAUGAUGUAUCGUGACGUACCAGAUUCACGGGUUAAGGGACCCGGAUUUGGGGUCGUUACAAUUGGUAUCAAAGCUGUAGGUUAUAAACCUUAGGUAGGGGUACCUUUGGCUAUAACCGCGGAGAUAGAGAUAAGGAUAAGGAAUAAACUCAAAAAGAGUUUAGAGUGCUAAGAGAUGAAUUUAGAAAAUUCAUUAUUAAGUAAAAAAGAAGAUAAACAAGAUUUAAAGAAGAAUCUUGAAGAGUUAUAAAAAUAAGAAUCCGGAGUUAUUUAACUCCAAUAAUAAAGAUGAUAAGUAAUGAUGAAUAGACAAAGUCUAUGGGACUAAGAGGUUCAAGGAAAUCAUAGUAUAAUAUGAUUAAGGAAUGAUAAGAAGAUCGUAAAACAAAACGAUCAUAAGAUAGGAAAGAAUUGUAAUAUAAUACGAUUAUAAAGAAAGAUCACGACAUGAUCUGAUUAUGGCAUGAGAAGACAGAUGGUCAAUCGAAUGAUUGAAAUUUGAUAGCAGAAUUGCUAUACAAAAAAGGGUACUAGAAAAUAGUACAAAGAUAAAACUCAAAAGGAGUUAUAAAUGAUGAGAUACGGAUUAAAGAAAGUUCGUAUUAAGAAAAGAGCAAGAUAAGAUUAGAGUUAUGUGGGAUUUCAAUUGAGGACUCAUGUGAUAGCUGAGUUGUACAAACCUUUGUAUGGGCAGGGGUUUGUGUUUGGUCUAACGACUACUCAGUUUAUCACAUUGAUAAUCAUUUAAAUAUUGGUAUCGCGCUAUCGAUAUACAUAUGACGAGAAGGUGAUUCUUUUCUCAUAUUUAUAUUUGAUAGUUAGAGAAUAUUAAGAAUAGGUGCGAGUUCUUAAAACUCAUAUUUAUGGUAAGUUUGUGACUCAUAAUCGUAUGGUACGUUUUUAAACCCCUAAGCAUGUGGGCAAUCCCUGAUCUGUUCUUGGACUACAUAUUAGUAGGAUAAGUUCCUAAACUCAUAUUAUUGUGGUAAGUUCUUGAACUCAUAACGUGUGGUAAGUUUGAUGAACUAUAAUGGGAUAUAGAAGAGUUGUGAAUGAAGAACUAAGGAUUUUCAGUGUAGUAAGCUUUAAGAAUGUUAGAAAUAGAUAGAAUUAUUAGCAAUGAAGCAUUGGAGAAAAUUGGAGUUGAUGAAGGAAGCAUAGGUAUUCCAAAUCUUCUAUCUAUGCUAGACUUCAAAAUUUUUGACAUCAACCUAAAUUCGCACUGAUGUGACUUUAAAAAUAUAAAUAAAUUUUUGUUAUCCUCAAGGGUAUGGAUGUGAACUUCAAGCCACUAACACAUUGUUUCCUGUUGUGACAUGAUAACACCAAAAAUGAUUUUCAAUGGUUUUGAAUCGUUUAAAAGAAAAGUCAUUGCUAAUUGUUUUGGCUAGGCAACCUGAUUUGAAAAUAUCAAAAUGUAUCUUAUAUAUCAUUAAUGCAUCAUGGAACUUGGUGCAGAGAUGAUAAAAAUGGAGUCAUCAAUGCAAUAUUACCUAGUGUUGGAUGUGAUCUAAGGAUCGUCAGCCCACUAAUGUAACAAAAAUCACAAAAUGACGGAAUCCUCAAACGAACUGUAAAUACAAUGCGGAAUCAUGACGUCAUAAAAUGAUUUUCAAAAUUUUAAAGAUAAUUUAUUGCCAAUUAAAUUUGGCCAGAUACAUGUUUCGAUUAAUGUUCGAAUUAUUGAUAUACAUCUAAGCUAUUUGAUUCAGCUAGACAAAUGUUUAAAAAAAAUUCAAGUAUCUCUUUGAGAAUUUAUCCCGAACCAAUUAUUUUGGUACAGACUCUUAUACUAAGUCUGAGGUGAAUAACCCCGAUUGGAUAAAAUAGUCCAAUCUAGUAGCGCAAAUAGUCGCUAAACAAGAUUGAUACGUUGUGCACAACGUAAGCAUACGAUAGGCUAAUCACCUAAAGUACUAGCAGAGUAAUUUAUCUUCUUUGUAACAUAUAUAAUAGUUACCGUUUUACGGUGUGAAUACCGUUAAAACUAUGUGUUCAUGAUCUUUAUGACCCCAUAAUAUGAAAAGUUUUAACUUGUUGGACAGAAAUCAUACUAGAAUGUGAUGAUAGAAGAGAUCCUCAUAGAAAGGAAACACUAUGUACUCAUUAAUGGAGAAUGAAAUCAGAUAAACGUUAAAUUGAAAACAUAUUAUUGGUGAAUAAAUGGAGUAGAGAUAAGUAGGUUGUAAUUUCGAGGACGAAAUAAUUAGAAGAAUGGGUGAAUGUGACAACCCAAAAAUUUAUAAGAUUUAUAAAUAAAUUCUUGAAUUAUUAAAUAAAGAAUAAAGGAUAAAACCUAGAUGGGAAAUAAAGGAUUAAUUAAAAUUUUUAAAGAACCUAUAUGGUUUGAUUUGAAUUUUUAAGAAAUGUAAA
rnacentral:lncRNA from 1 species